GAUGAGCUUUUUUCCAUGAAUAAAUUCUGAGAACUGUUUAAUUAUACAACCUGGCUUCUAACUCCCUCUCAUUUAAUAUGGCUCCAGAAAACCAUGAUGCCUUCAGAAGGUCCAGACCCUCCAUAGGAGAAGGAAGUAAUGCCUAAUCUGAGGUUGAAUACAAAACAACAUUCAAUGAGAUCAAACAUGGCAGUACUUCUAGCAGUGCUUGGGA